rnacentral:misc_RNA from 1 species
UGGUUCUGGCAUCGAUGAAGAACGCAGCGAAAUGCGAUAAGUAAUGCGAAUUGCAGAAUUCCAGUGAGUCAUCGAAUCUUUGAACGCACAUUGCGCCCUUUGGCAUUCCGAAGGGCAUGCCUGUUCGAGCGUCAUUAUCAACCCUCAAGCCCUGCGCUUGCUGUUGGACGGCUUGGUCGAGCCCGCCUCGACCCCUCCGAAAGAUAACGACGGCGGCCCGUGGGACCCCCGGUACACUGAGCUUCUUCACCGAGCACGUACCGGACGAGGGCACCCGGGACCCGGUCUCCUCCCCGUGGAAGCGGGAACACUUUCUUCAGGUUGACCUCGGAUCAGGUAGGAAUACGCGCUGA